CUGAAACAUAUUUUUCAUAUACAGUUUAUAUCUUCCUGGACAAGUUCAUUCCCCCAAGUGUAGUGUCCAAAAAGUUCCUAGCCCAGGAAAUUAUUGAAUGGAGGUUUACUGCCCUGAGGCUACAUACCGAUCCGACAUGUAAUUCCAUGCUGCGGCAAUUAAGAGUCUGUCACUGAAAUUAACUGUUUCUAGCGUGGAAAAGUGGGGUUCCCCC